AGCCAGACUCCUACGGGAGGCAGCAGUGGGGAAUAUUGCACAAUGGGGGAAACCCUGAUGCAGCGACGCCGCGUGAGCGAUGAAGUAUUUCGGUAUGUAAAGCUCUAUCAGCAGGGAAGAAGAUGACGGUACCUGACUAAGAAGCCCCGGCUAACUACGUGCCAGCAGCCGCGGUAAUACGUAGGGGGCAAGCGUUAUCCGGAUUUACUGGGUGUAAAGGGAGCGUAGACGGCGAUGCAAGCCAGAUGUGAAAGCCCGGGGCUCAACCCCGGGACUGCAUUUGGAACUGUGUGGCUGGAGUGUCGGAGAGGCAGGCGGAAUUCCUAGUGUAGCGGUGAAAUGCGUAGAUAUUAGGAGGAACACCAGUGGCGAAGGCGGCCUGCUGGACGAUGACUGACGUUGAGGCUCGAAAGCGUGGGGAGCAAACAGGAUUAGAUACCCUAGUA
rnacentral:rRNA from 1 species